AGAAGGGAGUCGCGUGGUGUGCGCGUGCGCGUUAGGGAGAGCGUUGCAGCGCGUGCCGCGGCAGGAGCGUUUUAACGGUUGUUUUAACGGUUGUAAGAGGAUGAAGGCGGGAAAAGGCGCGUGAGGCGCCUCAGGCGAGCCUCACCUCAGGAGCGGCAGGACCAUGUUUCGAACAUUGAAACAAAACAACAAGAAAAACAAGCCCAGCUGUGGACCCAGAACUUCCAGGAAGCUAAAGGAACAAAAAGAUGCUUCUGAAACAUUUGGGAAUCAUAGGAACACUCCCCACCAGUGGCUUCCAGCAAGGGCUUGCAUCUUCCUUAGGAGAGAGGCAUACCAGAACAAGGGCGGAAAGGCUUAGAGUUCAGAUAAAUAUAUAGAGAGAGAGAUCAUACACAAGCUUCCCCACGUGCAUCUGGAUGCAAUAUGUGCAGAUGCCUUUGACACAUCUGAGCGAGUGGCCUGGCAAAUUUCCGAGAGUGCAAAAGAUGGAGAAAAUGAUAAGUCAACUGUCAAUCUUUAAAAUUUUAAUGAAGUGAAAAUACUGCCUGAACCAGCAUGUGAGGAGGAGAGAGACCUCCUUCAGUUUGAACAGAUUAAAAAAAAAAAAAACUCAGGGGGAUCAAAGAGGAUUAGCAUUCCCAAUGCUAACACUACUUCUUGGAGUGAUGUUUGGGAAAAGGCUAUGUAAACCAUCUGACAAGAGAAGCUAACCUCCUUUUGGAAAGCCCUGAGCAAACAAAUACUAAUCACAGAAUAAAGGGACAAUUAGCGGUGAUGUCUCCUGUAAUAAAUCUACUAACAAGAAUACAACCUUCUGGCCAUUCACAGCCAGAUCCCCAGCCUUGCUGUUUGCUGAGCAGAUUAAUGGGGACAAAUCGGGCAGCUUAUUGCAAGGGACAAGCACAUUUCUUUGUCUGUCUUGACACAAGGAAGCCAAACCUGCCUGGAAUUGUAUUUCCAGCUUGAUCAACGGGGCAUCUGCUCUAACGAUUGCUCCAGUUCCAAUGUCCGUAAGUGGCACCUAAUUUCCUCAUAAAAGAUGCCUCUGCUAGAAUAAUUGAAAACUAACAGUCAAUUUCAAAAGAAGGACACAGCUAGUCCUGUUGUGACUCACACAGUCAUCCUCCAACUUUGGCUUUCUGCGUAAAUUAUAUGGCAUGGCGUGCACCUGAUGUAAAUUACUGACUUAAAUCCAUUAAGUGUCACUUUUGAUUCACAUCUGUGAAUGUAAGGGGAAUCGACCCCUUAUGCCAAGCCAUGUUUGCUCUUGAAAUGCUUCAGCUCUGAUUUUGAGGUGACAUUUGGUGCGUAUGUAAUGAGAUUUUUUGAAGUGGUCCCAUGAUCAUAUAUACAUUGAAGAGUUAUGUUGGGUUUGGGUAUUCCUCAACAUAACUUUUCUGGGAACAAUGCCAUGAGUGACAUCCUCAGUUCCUGCUGGGUCUGCAUACAAGAUUAUCCAUCGAGAAAUGAUAAGGAUAUUAUGUUCAGACAUAACAUGGCUGAAGAUCAGUGGAAGAUAAUCUGUUUUUCAUGCAGAAGGUCCCAGGUCCAAAUCCCCAGAAUCUCUAGGUAGGGCUAGGACAGAAAUCUGUCUAAAAUUUUGGAGAGCUGCUGCCAGUCAGUGUAAGCACCACUGAACUAAAUGGACUAGCAGGCUGACUCAGGGUAAGGCAGCUUCUUGCGUUAAAAGUUCCUAUGUUCUUUUCAAUGUAGCAUUACCAUUCUCAGGUUUCCAUUCUCAACUUUCUCUUAAUCCAGCCCAAUCAACCCAGGGCCAAUCCUCAGAUGAAUGCACAGAAAUCUUCUUGGUCAAAUCUUAGCCAGAGCUGUUAUGUUUAAGGAACUUGGGAGCAUAGGAAGUUCCCUUAUAUGAGAUUAGUUUAAUGGUCUUGACUAAUAUUGUCUUCUCUGUGGUUCUUCAGGGUCUCAGGCAGAGAGUCUUUCUCAUCUUCUGAUAUCUGAGAUCCUUUUCACUUGGAGAUGUGGGGGCUUGAAACUGGGACUACUUAGCGUGUAAAUUGUGUGCUUUACCACUGAGUUGUGGUUCUGCCUAAAGAGCCUUAGAUUAUAUAAGAGAGGGAGUUCAUUGUAAAUCAAAGUGAAGCUGCAAAAAUGUAAAUUGGCUAUAUGCAAAAUUAUUUAAUUUCUUAAUUUAUCAGCAUAGAAGCCUGGUAUAUCCUUAAAGAAUACAGCCUUACACACCCCUAUGGCCAUGAUCUUGCACAAAGUCAGGUGCAUGCAGCCUGUGCUUCUGUACUCUUGAAUCUGUGGGUUUGGACAAUAAUCAAACAGUGGUUCUUGUCUAGAAGAUAGGAGAUGCCUCGAGCUGGGUUCCCUGCCCCCCGCCCCAGGCCAGAAUAUCAGGUAAGGAAGCAGUUAACCUCCACAUUUUUUUUAAUGCAAACCAAUGUUGCAGUGUUGUGUGUGUGAGCCUUGAAUCUAUAUGGCACACAUGCUAAUACUACAUUGUUGUAGCAUUGCACUACAGAGAAGCAGAUUCCCUCAUGUCUUCUGAACCAGGCAAGGGAGCUCUCCAGCAAUAUCAGCAGUCAGAAUACCUAUUGCUGUGUAGGAACUGUCCAGGAGUACAAUAGACUAGGAGUAGGACUAUUAACCUAUUGCAUCAGUAGCUUCCACACAGCAGCUGAAAAUCUAAGUACCUCGGGUUAAGAACUUAAUUCACUCCGGAGGUCCGUUCUUAACCUGAAACUGUUCUUAACCUGAGGUACCACUUUAGCUAAUGGGGCUUCCUGCUGCCGCUGUGCGAUUUCUGUUCUCAUCCUGAAGCAAAGUUCUUAACCCAAGGUACUAUUUCUGGGUUAGCGGAGUCUGUAACCUGAAGCGUCUGUAACCUGAAGUGUCUGUAACCCGAGGUACCACUGUACUCAGCCUGGUUAUUCCCUGCUGGCCUGGCCCCCACCUUGAAGUACUAGUGAAAGCUUGAUUCUGACUGUGCUUAUGAUAAUGAUUCAUGUUGAUUGUGGGGAUUCGAGAACUGUAGGAUGAAUCCAGUGGAAGCAUAUCAGAUCUACUGCAUUUCAGUAAGAUCUUUGGGAUUGCCUCAAGGUGCCCUAGCUGUGGUGUUGUAUAGUUUAUUUAUAUGUUCCUUUUGGGCUCACAGGCCCUCAAAACAUGAACAACAGUAAUGCAUAUUAACAACUUGGGACCAGUUUAUCUACAAGAUUGCCUUACCCCACAUGUGCCCACUAACCUACCCAGAGGCUUAGAAAGUUGAGGUAAUUUUAAUCUGUUUAAGUAUUUUAACUUCUGCAUGUUUUAGAGUAUGGUUGUGAUCCCCCCCUUGCUUUAUCUUUCUGUAAACCGCAUUGAGGCUUUUUACAUUCAAGCGGUGUAUAACUUUCAUGAAAUAAAUAAUAUCAAUGCAAAAUAAAGAUGCAGUAAAAGUACAAGACAUGCAAUAAAUAAAACAAUAUGAAAUAGUUUUAAAAUUCAGACAUGAAUGUUAACUAUGUGAUGAUAUCAUUCCAUUCUCCUUUGCUUCUUUGCAGGAGCAAAGAUAUCAUUAGAACUACCUCAGACACCAUGCUAGAUGUUAGGCUGUCCCAGGUCAUCUGGUCCUGGUUCAUGCUGGGACUGAUGCUGAUGUCCAGAGGACGUCUCAUGAUAAUCCAGCUAUAGGAGCUUGGCAGGUUCCAAUGCUUCUGCACUGCCCACUCGGGAGUGGGUCUCAGGAGGUGGCUCAGUGGUGCUUUAGGGCAUAAUAUUCAACACCACAGAUUAAUCAUGUCUUAAAACCCUUUAAAUACACUUUUGAGUUAGGGUGGCUUAAGAAUGUAGUUUCCAUUCUUUUGCUGCAUAUUUGUGUGUGAGGAUUGUACACUAUGUUAACUAUAAUGAAUAUUGCGGCGCAGGAAGGAAAAGUUUCAACGUUGUUUAACUGAGGAUAAAAGGUGUGUUCUUUGUCCAUGUCAUUUAAGCUCCAGGUGCAGAGUUUUGUGAAUGUGUCAUAUUUGGGGCUUUCCACUGUUUCUUGUAGGAGACAGACUUCAUUGCACCUGGGUACAAGGCACCAAGGCAGCUCCAUAUCGCCUAAGGUUCUCUCUUUGGCCUGCAGCAGGGUUGGAAACAAGUAGCCCUCCAAAAAUCAUUGGAGUCCCACUCCCAUCACCUUUGGCUGUUGCCCAUGCAGGCUGGGGCUGAGAAGAGUUGGCAGUCCAACAACAUGCUUGUUGUUUCAUGGCCAACCUCUGUCUACAUUGGGAAUGACAAAGUAAAUUGGAGGAGUGAGAUUGGAGCGAAGCGGUAAACAUCUGUCACAGGGAGCAUUUUACAGAAGGCUGGAAUCGAGUUGAGCAAGAUGAUACAACCAGAGUGAACGCAUUUCGAAAUCAUCUUCAUUUGGCUGCAGCUCAUUAAAGUUCACACUCAAUAAGCAGGAUACAUUCAAGAAUGUGGGGGCUGGAUGGGAAGAGGGUAGAUAACAGAGACACUGCACCUAGCCUUGGUGACUGAAUUGAAACUACUAAUCAGUCUACUCCUGAUUAUGUGGAACUGAAGCUAGACGAAACUGCAUAACAGGCCUGGAAAGGAAGAAAAUGAACAUGAGAUCAGAUUUCUUUAAUAAUAAAUAAUUCUUGCAUUUCAUUGCCUUUUGGUCUCACUGUU